rnacentral:sRNA from 1 species
GCUGGGCAUGGUGGUGCAUGCCUGUAAUCCCAGCGGCCAGGAGGGUGAGUCAGGAAGACCAUGAGUUCAAAGCCAGCCUUAGCAACAUAGUGAGGCCCUGAGCAACUCAUUGAAACCCUGUCUCUA